UGGGUUUGACAUGUACGUAGUAGUGAAGGGAAACCGGAACGACUCUUCGGAGAGCGUACACAGGUGCUGCAUGGCUGUCGUCAGCUCGUGUCGUGAGAUGUUGGGUUAAGUCCCGCAACGAGCGCAACCCUCGUCGUUAGUUACAAGUGUCUAGCGAGACUGCCGGUGUCAAGCCGGAGGAAGGUGGGGAUGACGUCAAGUCAGCAUGGCCUUUAUGUCCAGGGCUACACACACGCUACAAUGGGCAGUACAAUGGGCAGCGAAGGGGCGACCUGGAGCGAAUCUCAUCAAAGCUGUUCGUAGUUCGGAUUGUAGGCUGCAACUCGCCUGCAUGAAGC
rnacentral:rRNA from 1 species